rnacentral:rRNA from 1 species
AACGAACGCUGGCGGCAUGCCUAACACAUGCAAGUCGAACGAGACCGUCGGGCCUAGUGGCGCACGGGUGCGUAACGCCGGGUAACCUGCCCUUAGGUUAGCAAUAACUCCCCGAAAGGGGUCCUAAUACCGGAUAAUCUCUUAGCACCAAUGAUCUACCGCCUUUGGAUGGGCCCGCGUUGGAUUGGCUGGUUGGUAGGGUAAAAGCCUACCAAGGCGACGAUCCAUAGCUGGUCUGAGAGCAUGCUUAGCCACACUGGGACUGGGACACGGCCCAGACUCCGACGGAAGGGAGCAGUGGGUUAUAUUGGACGAGGGACGCAAGCGUGAUCCCGCCAUGCCGCGUGAGUGAUGAAGGCCUUAGGGUUGUAAAGCUCUUUUACCCGGGAUGAUAGUGACAGUACCGGGAGAAUAAGCUCCGGCUAACUCCGUG